rnacentral:rRNA from 1 species
GAUGAACGCUAGCGGCAGGCCUAAUACAUGCAAGUCGAGGGGCAGCAGGGAUAGCAAUAUUCGCUGGCGACCGGCGCACGGGUGCGUAACACGUAUACAAUCUGCCUUUAACUGGGGGAUAGCCCGGAGAAAUCCGGAUUAAUACCCCAUAAUAAUUUGACUGGCAUCAGUUAGAUUUGAAAGCUCCGGCGGUUAGAGAUGAGUAUGCGACUGAUUAGCUAGUUGGUGAGGUAACGGCUCACCAAGGCAACGAUCAGUA